rnacentral:rRNA from 1 species
UACAGUGGGUGCGAGCGUUAAUCGGAAUUACUGGGCGUAAAGCGUGCGUAGACGGUAGCGUAAGUCAGAUGUGAAAGCCCCGGGCUCAACCUGGGAAUUGCAUUUGAGACUGCUCUGCUCGGGUGCGGAAGAGGGAAGCGGAAUUUCCGGUGUAGCGGUGAAAUGCGUAGAUAUCGGAAGGAACACCAGUGGCGAAAGCGGCUUCCUGGUCCGACAACCGACGUUCAGGCACGAAAGCGUGGGGAGCAAACAGG